AUCCAGCUGACGAGUCCAAAAUAGAACGAAACACGCGUUGUGAAC
rnacentral:hammerhead_ribozyme from 1 species